UCCUAGCCGUAAACGAUGUAGACCAGGUGUGGGGGGUAUCGACCCCUCCCGCGCCGACGCUAACGCAUUAAGUCUACCGCCUGGGGAGUACGACCGCAAGGUUAAAACUCAAAGGAAUUGACGGGGGCCCGCACAAGCGGUGGAUCAUGUGGUUUAAUUCGACGCUACGCGAAGAACCUUACCUGGGCUCGAACGACUGGUGGUACCUCUUUUGAAAGGGAGAGGGACCCGCAAGGGAGCCAGCCGAGGUGCUGCAUGGUUGUCGUCAGCUCGUGUCGUGAGAUGUUGGGUUAAGUCCCGCAACGAGCGCAACCCUUGUCCUGUGUUGCUACCCCGCAAGGGGAGGACUCUCAGGAGACUGCCGUGGAUAACACGGAGGAAGGUGAGGACGACGUCAAAUCAUCAUGGCCUUUAUGUCCAGG
rnacentral:rRNA from 1 species